CUACGGGUUGCACCAGUAGGGAAUAUUGCACAAUGGACGAAAGUCUGAUGCAGCAACGCCGCGUGUGCGAUGAAGGCCUUCGGGUUGUAAAGCACUUUUCUGAGGGAAGAGGAAGGACGGUACCUCAGGAAUAAGUCUCGGCUAACUACGUGCCAGCAGCCGCGGUAACACGUAGGAGGCAAGCGUUAUCCGGAUUUACUGGGCGUAAAGCGCGUGCAGGCGGUUCGGUAAGUUGGAUGUGAAAGCUCCUGGCUCAACUGGGAGAUGCCGUUCAAUACUGCCGGACUCGAGGACGGUAGAGGGAGGUGGAAUUCCCGGUGUAGUGGUGAAAUGCGUAGAUAUCGGGAGGAACACCAGUGGCGAAAGCGGCCUCCUAGGCCGUUCCUGACGCUAAGACGCGAAAGCAUGGGUAGCGAACGGGAUUAGAUACCCCUGUAGUC
rnacentral:rRNA from 1 species